GGAAAGAAAGGGAAGAAAAAAAAGAAGGUUCAGCCCAAAUGGGUCCCAAGGUUUUUUUCAUAUUUCAGAGCCAGCAAAGAUAAAAUGUCUCUCAUUAUGGAAUUGGAUACCUAAAAUGUGUGAGCACUGGUGGUGAACACAUGUGAAAUAUCCCCCAAGGACUCAUAUAAAUGCAUGAGAGAAGUUUUCAAGGGCCUGAGGUCUUGCAUUAUACAGGUAUGAAC
rnacentral:lncRNA from 1 species